GAUGAACGCUAGCGGCAGGCCUAAUACAUGCAAGUCGAACGGUAAGUAUUUUAGCAAUAGAAUACGAGAGUGACGUACGGGUGCGUAACACGUAUGCAACCUACCCUUUACAGGAGGAUAGCUCGGGGAAACUCGAAUUAACCCUCCAUGAGAUCACAGUGUGGCAUCACACAGUGAUUAAAACUCCGGUGGUAAAGGAUGGGCAUGCGUCUGAUUAGUUAGUUGGCGGGGUAACGGCCCACCAAGACGAUGAUCAGUAGGGGAACUGAGAGGUUGAUCCCCCANACUGGCACUGAGAUACGGGCCAGACUCCUACGGGAGGCAGCAGUAGGGAAUAUUGGUCAAUGGAUGGAAGUCUGAACCAGCCAUGCCGCGUGCAGGAAGAAGGCCUUCUGGGUUGUAAACUGCUUUUGCCAGGGGAUAAAAAGACCAUGCGUGGUUAAUUGAAGGUACCUGGUGAAUAAGCCACGGCUAACUACGUGCCAGCAGCCGCGGUAAUAC
rnacentral:rRNA from 1 species